rnacentral:misc_RNA from 1 species
AAGUCGUAACAAGGUUUCCGUAGGUGAACCUGCGGAAGGAUCAUUAACACGUUCCACGUAUCAACCCGAGCACUCGUUUUUCCUCUGAUUAAGCUCCAGUUUAGCACCCUACAAACCUCGCAUUUCAGUCCGCAAACGAUAAGGAAACAGACUGAUCAAGUCUGGCGGCUGGCGAUUUGGUAUAGUCUCCUCUGCAAUUAAUUGCAGAGGAGAAAGGGCUCUGGAUGUCUGGUCAUGCUUCUAUUCCUUGUCGAUCUUUCACAAUCAUUUACCCCAUUCCGAAACGUACUAAUUUAUAUUUCUUUCUUAAGAAAUUGGAACACUUUCUGCUGCUUUACCGCAGUCGGGAGCGCUCUAACCAACUAAGAAAAACCUUAAGAACAACUCUUAACAACGGAUAUCUUGGCUCUC